GUUUUUUCUUUCUUUCUUUUUUUUUUUUUUUUUUUUUUUUUUUGUCUUUUUGCCUUUUCCCAGGCCGCUCUCAUGGCAUAUGGAGGUUCCCAGGCUAGGGGUUUAAUUGGAGCUGUAGCCGCUGGCCUACGCCAGAGCCACAGCAACGCGGGAUCCGAGCCGCGUCUGCAACCUACACCACACAGCUCAUGGCCACGCCGGAUCCUUAACCCACGGAGUAAGGCCAGGGAACGAACCCACAACCUCAUGGUUCCUAGUCGGAUUCGUUAACCACUGUGCCACGACAGGAACUCCCAGGCAGAUCUUUGAAUGCCACUAGCCAUCUCACACACGCAAGGCGGAAAACCACCGUCCCUUCUUGUCCUCAGGGUCCUUGGGGGUUUGCAGGGCUCCUGGUCCCCAGUGCACCGGCCCGUGAUGCCGGCCGUGUGGAGCCAUGGGCUGGGUGUGCAGAGGCAUCAGAAGUUUGGAGGUUACAGAGCACAAGGUGGGCAGCGCUGCCCCAGAGCAAGUUCCACGGGGGGUCCUUCUCGCCCCACCCCGACUCCACCUCGCCGGUCCUGAGGGCCCAGCUCCAUCAGCCCCUGAAACUGGACACGGAGAAGGCCGGUCCAGUCCACACAGCCCCUCUGCACCAUGAGGCUGGCACAUGGCCUCUCCCAAAGUACCGUCCUGCCCUUCGGUGACCCUGCUCCAAGCCAGGCCUGUGUCAACGAGAUGCCAGCCUCCUCUGGACCAGCCCUAGGUGAGCUGAGUGCAGAGGGAAAGCCGGCCAGACACCGGUUCACAUCCCAGCUCUGCUACUUAAUAUCCCUGUCCCCCCUGGCAAGUCAUGAGCUUCCCUGAGCCUCAGUUUCCUCAUCUGGAAAAUGGGGAGGCUUCCGGCACCUCCCUGCAGGGUCACAGUGAGGAUGACACGCGUUCAUAGGGGUUUGUAAGGCGCAUAGAGUGGGGCCUGACCGGUGAGGUCACCGGUACCUGGUGGGGGCGGGAGAGCAUCUCAGCCUGGGAUGGGGGGCAGGGGGCAAGCCCACCCUAAGGGCUUCCAGGCUCCGGACGAGGGUCCUGGGACAGCGACAGAAGGGCGCUGAGGGGCAAGAUGGGCGCCAAGCAGGUGGGGCUGUCCCUAGGACCUUCCUUGAUGAAACAGGCAUCUUCCCGGAUCCAGGGGGGCCGCAACCUCAUUUUGCAGAGGAGGAAAAUGAGGUGUCAAGAGAGGAAGGGCCUUGGGCAGAGGGGCUCAUGAGGACGACAGCGAGAACCACUCCCGUUCCCUGGCCCCUGGCCCCAGGGGCCCAGCCUUGGGGGGCUGCCUUGGGGGUGGAGGGACACAAGCCACCCCCAGCCCUUGGCCCAAAGGGUGGCCACCUGAUGGGACCUGCUCCCAGGCCACCCACUGACUGCACCCCACUUAAAGGGGCUGCUGGAGUUCCUGUCAUGGCGAAGUGGUUAACGAAUCCGACUAGGAACCAUGAGGUAGCGGGGUGGGGACGCCUGGUACCCACAAAGUCGUGACCUUAGAUGCUCAAGGAGAAUGGGAUUCAUGGGGGGCUUGGAUACACACGUAUCAUUCUGACCUCGAAGGACAGACACGGCUUCUUACAACCCCCCAAGCCGCCCACUGUGUGCAGCCCACGAUGGGAGCCCUCUCACCCAUAGUCACUCCUACACAUCGCCCUCACCAACACCCCAGACUUUGGAUCAAAGGGGGCCCGAACUCCAGAAACAAACAUCAAAACGUGGGAGGCGGAGAAGACGGGAGGGAGCCCCUAGGCCGCUGCACACGGUACAGCUCCACCCAAAGACCUGAGAUUGUGCAGUGCCCAACCUGUGCCACGCAGCAGCCGUUCAGAACCCCAGGGGGACCUGCAGCCCUGGUGACGGUGGCCAUGUUGCCUUGGACACCUCUCUCUCCAGAACAGAGCGGGGCAGCUGUCCCCCCAAAAGACCCCCUCCUCGCUAUCCUGCAUACACUGUGCACCCCCAACCCCUCGCCCAGCCCCAGCCCUCCACUCAGCAGGACCCCCACCCAUGCCCUCCACGGCGGCACCUGUGGCUUGGCAGGGCCUGGCGGUGGCGGUGGCGGUGGCGGUGGCGGGUGGGGGGAGGAAGGCAGGCACAGACAUCCGCCGCCCCUCCCCCGCUCCCGGGCUCACCUCCAGCUCCCGUGGUGACAGCCCGCCUCCCACAGCUCUGAGAGAACAGAGCCAGGCUGUGUUCACGUGUCCCCCCGCAGGGACCACACGGCGGGCAGGAGGGCAGGCGGGCGGGGGAGCAGAGCCACCACCCCACGCUGCCAGGCCACAGGCUCUGUCUGUGCCCAAACCUGCCAUUAGGGAGAGGCGAGGCGGCCAGACCAGCCCACCCAGCCCUUGAACCCCCCCAGACCAGCCCCUGGGGACCAAGGCGGUCCCCAAGGAUGGGGCCGGAGUGAUGUUUCAACGGCUCAGCGUUCCCACGCUAUGGGGCGGACAUCCUUGGCUCUUCCUAUUUCCCAGAUGGGAAAACUGAGGCUCAGAGAGGGCGCACAGAUCUGCCUGCAGGGUCUGGUCCUGAGACUGUGGACAGCAUCUCCCCAAGCUCUGCUUCCUGGGGGUCUAGGGGGAGGAGCUGGGGAGGGGCUGGAGCAGUGCCUGGGGUCCCCGAGGGCUCAGGAGGGCAGUUGCUUUGGCCCAAGGAGGCAG
rnacentral:lncRNA from 1 species